rnacentral:rRNA from 1 species
GCGAGAACACGUAGUCAAUCUAACCUAUGGAUGGGGAUAACCUCGGGAAACUGAGAAUAAUACCCAAUAGGUCAUUAUGCCUGGAAUGGUUUAUGAUUUAAAUGAUUUUUCGCUGUAUGAUGAGACUGCGGCCUAUCAGCUUGUUGGUGAGGUAAUGGCCCACCAAGGCUAUAACAGAUACGGGCUCUGAAAGGAGAAGCCCGGAAAUGGGUACUGAGACACGGACCCAGGCCCUAUGGGGCGCAACAUGCGAGAAAACUUUGCAAUGUGCGAAAGCACGACAAGGUUAAUCCGAGUGUUUUCUGCUAAAGAAAUCUUUUGUUAGUCUUAAAACCACUAACGAAUAACGGGUGGGCAAGUUCUGGUGUCAGCCGCCGCGGAAAAACCAGCACCUCAAGUGGUCAGGAUGAUUAUUGGGCCUAAAGCAUCCGUAACCGGUUUUAUAAGUUUCCGGUUAAAUCCAUAUGCUCAACUUAUGGGCUGCCGGAAAUACUGCACAGCUAGGCAGUGCAAGAGGUAUACGGUACUCGUCUAGGUAGGGGUAAAAUCCUUUGAACUAUUGAUGACCACCUGUGGCGAAGGCGGUCUACCACAACACGUUCGACGGUGAGGGAUGAAAGCUGGGGGCGCACACCGGAUUAGAUACCCGUGUAGUCCCAGCUGU